rnacentral:rRNA from 1 species
CCGCGAAUGGCUCAUUACAACAGCCACUGUUUACUUGAUCUUGACUAUCCUACUUGGAUAACUGUGGUAAUUCUAGAGCUAAUACACGCAAUAAAGCUCCGACCUUACGGGACGAGCGCAUUUAUUAGACCAAAACCAAUCGGGCUUCGGCCUGAACGGUGGUGACUCUGAAUAACUGAGCUGAUCGCAUGGUCUUUGUACCGGCGACGCAUCUUUCAAGUGUCUGCCUUAUCCACUUUCGAUGGUAGUUUAUGUGCCUACCAUGGUUGUUACGGGUAACGGAGAAUAAGGGUUCGACUCCGGAGAGGGAGCCUGAGAAACGGCUACCACAUCCAAGGAAGGCAGCAGGCGCGCAAAUUACCCACUCUCGGCACGAGGAGGUAGUGACGAAAAAUAACGAGGCGGUUCUCUAAGAGGCCCGCUAUCGGAAUGGGUACAAUUUAAACCCUUUAACGAGGACCUAUGAGAGGGCAAGUCUGGUGCCAG